rnacentral:rRNA from 1 species
UACGUAGGGUGCGAGCGUUAAUCGGAAUUACUGGGCGUAAAGCGUGCGCAGGCGGCUAUUUAAGCUUGCUGUGAAAGCCCCGGGCUUAACCUGGGAACUGCAGUGAGGACUGGAUGGCUGGAGUGUGGCAGAGGGGGGUGGAAUUCCACGUGUAGCAGUGAAAUGCGUAGAGAUGUGGAGGAACACCGAUGGCGAAGGCAGCCCCCUGGGAUAACACUGACGCUCAGGCACGAAAGCGUGGGGAGCAAACAGG